CGCUUAUUUUGCUUGACCGCCACUGGAAAAAAUAAUGCCACUUAUGCAGCGCCUGAGUGGCACACACGGGGUCGGGCCGGUAUGUCGCGAGCUGGAUAUUGCCCCG
rfam:Serratia symbiotica genome assembly, type strain CWBI-2.3T, contig: SYMBAF_Contig_2